rnacentral:rRNA from 1 species
AACGAACGCUGGCGGCAUGCCUAACACAUGCAAGUCGAACGCCCUCUUCGGAGGGAGUGGCGCACGGGUGCGUAACGCGUGGGAACCUGCCCUUAGGUUCGGAAUAACUCAGAGAAAUUUGAGCUAAUACCGGAUAAUGUCUUCGGACCAAAGAUUUAUCGCCUUUGGAUGGGCCCGCGUUGGAUUAGCUAGUUGGUGGGGUAAAGGCCUACCAAGGCGACGAUCCAUAGCUGGUCUGAGAGGAUGAUCAGCCACACUGGGACUGAGACACGGCCCAGACUCCUACGGGAGGCAGCAGUGGGGAAUAUUGGACAAUGGGCGAAAGCCUGAUCCAGCAAUGCCGCGUGAGUGAUGAAGGCCUAGGGUUGUAAAGCUCUUUUACCCGAGAUGAUAAUGACAGUAUCGGGAGAAUAAGCUCGGCUAACUCCGUGCCAGCAGCCGCGGUAA